rnacentral:miRNA from 2 species
AGAAGCUGGGUUGAGAGGGCAA